rnacentral:lncRNA from 13 species
CCAAGCUGCUUUUCCCACUCCCACAAGCUGCCAAAAGGGUGACCCCAAGCCCGUUCUCAGUUCUCUGUGAGGAUGACAUCCAUGUUGCUCUUCCCCUCAGCUGAGUGGACAAAGCCCUUUGACUCAGCUGCCACCAGCCCAAAGGAGGUCUUCGUACACAAGCACAGGACUGUGUGGGUGUCCAUGAUGAAGGAGAAGGCCAGCCACCACUUCCUGCAUGACCCUGAGCUGUGGGGCUCUGUGCUGCAGAUGGACCAUGCUGGGAACACCACCACCUUCUUCAUCUUCCCCAAUAGGGGCAAGAGAACUCGAUUUCCACUUCCCCAAGUUUUCCAUUUCCAGAACCUACAGACUGGAGGUGGAGCGACAAGAGUGACUGUGGGUGGAGGCUUCCCCGGGCAGCUGGACUGAGCAUCUCUAAAGUAACUGGGGAUGGUCACUCAUAAGGCCAUGAUGACUUUGGAUAAGAAGGACUCUGAAGCUGCUGCAGCCACCAGAGUCCAGCUCACCCCAGGGCCUCGCCCAGACCUUGACUUCCCACCCUCUUCAGGCACUGAGUUCAAUCGGCCCUUCCUAAUGAUGACUUUCCACAUGGAAAUGGGAAGCAUGCUUUUUCUGGGGAAUAUUGUCAAGCCACUGGGAUAAUGCUCUUUCCGGCAUGCUGGGCGACUCAAAGGGAAGAGAAUGGCCUACACAACAGGGAACUUCUAUUGCAGGCUCAAGUUUAAUGAGAAGUUACAUAUACCUGGGUUUUUUGCUUGGUUUUCACAGGAACCUAUGGGGAUGAGGAUAGUAACAUUGAACAGGGCUGUUCUGCACACAGUUAGCAGCUACCACUGAGCAAACACCUCCUGGGCAGCAAAUGCUUUCUAUCUCUUAUCUCACUUUAAAAUGAAUUACCACAACAAUCUAACAAAAUAAGUGUUUGGUUGAACCAUAUGAAAUUGCUUACGUUUCAGUUGCACCUAUAUUUUGUAGAUACAAAAAAAAGGCAACUUCUUAUGAUCCAACCCUUACCAUAGCUGAGGAUCAGAGAAUUUUAUAGACGUGCUCAGGCUCACUGAGCUAGAAAGCAGGCGAGCUCCAUUCCAGUCUUAUCCAUUUUGCUAAAUUAAUGAAUCUCAAACUUUACAGUAUGUACAAAUUCCCUGUGGAUCUUUUUAUAAAGCAAAUUUUAAUUCAAUAGGUCUGGGAUGGGGCCUGAGGUCCCAUAUUUCUUAUAAGGUCCCGGUGAUGCCAAGGCUGCUGGUAGGGUGGCCACACAUUGAACAACAGGUUGCUAAACUCACUUGGCCCCAUAAUCCCCAGAGAGGUUAAGCUGGUGUGGCCAGCAGCGCAGAGGCGUGACACUGGCCCCUUAAUCCACGUGCGGAGUUGAGAAAAAUAUGAGUGACACCUUUUUGAAGCCUACAGACAAAGUUUGCUUUAGGGUCACUUAUUAAUGAGUAGACUGGGGAAAACAAGUAUCCUAAAUAAAGAUGUUUUGCCCAGUCUGGACA